AAAGAAAUCAUACAAGCCAGAAAACAAUGGAAUAAUAUUUUUAAGUGCAUAAAGAAAAAUCAAAAACAAAAACUAUCAACUCAUAAUUCUACAUCUAGGAAAAAUAUUCUUCAAGAAUAAAGUCAAAAUUAAGAUAUAUUUUCAGAUUAAAAAAGCUAAGAUAAUCACCAAGAGCAUUUGAAACAGUCACCGAAAUACACCAUGUGCUAAGCCAUCAAAUAGCUCUCAAUAAAUUUCAAGAGACUGAAAUAAUAAGUGUUCAUUCUCCAGUAACACUGGAAUUAAACUCGAAACUUACAAAAAUGUACAUCAUAAAAAUUCCCAAAUAUUUGGAAAAUAAGCAACACACUUCUAAACUC
rnacentral:lncRNA from 10 species